UACGAGGGGCGAGCGUUGUUCGGAAUUACUGGGCGUAAAGGGCGCGCAGGCGGUCCUUCAAGUCAGAUGUGAAAGCCCGAGGCUCAACCUCGGAACUGCCUUCGAUACUGCGGGUCUCGAGUCCGGAAGAGGUGAGUGGAACUCCUAGUGUAGAGGUGGAAUUCGUAGAUAUUAGGAAGAACACCAGUGGCGAAGGCGGCUCACUGGUCCGGUACUGACGCUGAGGUGCGAAAGCGUGGGGAGCAAACAGGA
rnacentral:rRNA from 1 species